UACGUAGGGUGCGAGCGUUGUCCGGAAUUAUUGGGCGUAAAGAGCUCGUAGGCGGUCUGUCGCGUCGGUCGUGAAAACUUGGGGCUUAACCCUGAGCUUGCGGUCGAUACGGGCAUGACUGGAGUUCGGCAGGGGAGACUGGAAUUCCUGGUGUAGCGGUGAAAUGCGCAGAUAUCAGGAGGAACACCGGUGGCGAAGGCGGGUCUCUGGGCCGAUACUGACGCUGAGGAACGAAAGCGUGGGGAGCGAACAGG
rnacentral:rRNA from 1 species